GCCGUGAGGUGUCGGCUUAAGUGCCAUAACGAGCGCAACCCUUGUUGACAGUUAUCAUCAGGUAAAGCUGGGGACUCUGUCGAGACUGCCACCGUAAGGUGUGAGGAAGGGGGGGAUGACGUCAAAUCAGCACGGCCCUUAUGUCCGGGGCGACACACGUGUUACAAUGGGAGGUACAGAGGGCAGCUAUCCAGUGAUGGAGUGCAAAUCUCAAAAACCUUUCUCAGUUCGGAUUGGAGUCUGCAACUCGACUCCAUGAAGUUGGAUUCGCUA
rnacentral:rRNA from 1 species